rnacentral:lncRNA from 1 species
GUGGGAAACACUGAUCCUUCUUGUGAAAGGCUUGCUGCUGUUUGUCUGCUAAGCCUCAGCCUGUUGGCAGGUGUUCAUCGUGCUUGGACAAGAGCUUGGAGUCCCAGCACGUGGAGGAAGGCCAAAGCGAGUCCAAGGUGAUGAUGAAGAGAGAAGCGAGUUUCGCUGGAUGUCGCUUCUGCUGUAACUGCUGUUCUGGGAUGAGAGGCUGUGGGAUCUGCUGCGACUUCUGACCCCCUUUUCCCGUCACCCGGUCGGUGCCUGGAGGCUCCCCAGCCCUUCCUGGGAGCAGAUCGAAGCCAGCCUGGUGCUGAAUUUGCCUGGGUUCAGGGGGAUGCUAACCCUCCUGCUCAGCCCCAAUAAAGUAUCUGCCUAG